rnacentral:rRNA from 1 species
GAUGAACGCUGGCGGCGUGCCUAAUACAUGCAAGUCGAGCGAACAGACGAGGAGCUUGCUCCUCUGACGUUAGCGGCGGACGGGUGAGUAACACGUGGAUAACCUACCUAUAAGACUGGGAUAACUUCGGGAAACCGGAGCUAAUACCGGAUAAUAUAUUGAACCGCAUGGUUCAAUAGUGAAAGACGGUUUUGCUGUCACUUAUAGAUGGAUCCGCGCCGCAUUAGCUAGUUGGUAAGGUAACGGCUUACCAAGGCAACGAUGCGUAGCCGACCUGAGAGGGUGAUUGGCCACACUGGAACUGAGACACCGUCCAGGCUUCUAAGGGAGGCCGGAGUAGGGAAUCUUCCGCCAUGGGCGAAAGCCUGAAGGAGCAACGGCGCGUGAGUGAUUAAGGUCUUCGGAUCGUAAAACUCUGUUAUUAGGGAAGAACAAAAGUGUAAGUAACUAUGCACGUUUUGACGGUACCUAAUCAGAAAGCCACGGCUAACUACGUG